UUGACAGUAGGAGUAGGAUUAGGGGGAAAGUAGAGGACACUGCAGAUCGAAGAAAGCACAGCCGCCGCCGAUGAGCGCGACGGAGAAGAGCACGGAGGGGGAGGGGGAGGGGGAGGGGUCCCAGCCCGUGGAGGCGUUCCUCGACAUCCUCGGCCGCGUCCCGAUGGGGGAGGUGGAGGGGGCGCUGACCUCCUGCGGCGUCGGCCCGACGGCGGAGGCCGCGGAGCAGGUGCUCAAGUCCAAAACCUGCUACGAGCGCCCCAAAUCGGCCGUCCGCUUCUUCCGCUGGGCGAAGGCGUCCGUGCAGCUCACCCCCUUGGCCUGGAACCUCCUCGUCGACAUCCUCGGUAAGGCCGCCAUGUUCGAUCCCAUGUGGGAUGCCGUCCUCUCCAUGAGCCAGGAGGGCGGCCUCCUCUCCGUCGCCACAUUCGCCUCCAUGUUCGCCUCCUACUGCGCGCGCGGCAACUUCAAGGAAGCCGCCAUGGCCUUCGACGUCAUGGAGCGCCACGGCGUGACCUCGGACGCCGUUGCCCUCAACUCCCUCCUCGCCGCCAUGUGCCGCCGGGAUGGCGGCGGGCAGGCCGCGUGGGAGCUUUUCGAACGCUACAAGACCACGGUCGCGCCCGACGCGGACACCUUCGCGAUACUGCUCGAGGCGUGGGAGAAGGAGGGGAACGUCCAGCGCGCCAAGAGCACCUUCGGCGAGAUGGUCGUUCGCGUCGGGUGGGACGCCAGCAACAUGCCUGCCUACGAUGCUUUCCUCUCCACGCUUGUGCGAGGGGACCAGUUCAACGAGGCAUUGAAGUUCCUCCAGGUGAUGCGGACCAAGGGCUGCCUCCCGGGGCUCAAGUUCUUUGCCAACGCGAUCGACCUUGUCGUCCGCAAGGGAGACCAUGCCAAUGCUAUUGCUAUCUGGCAAAUUAUGGUCUCGGAUGCAGGACUGGUUCCCAAUCUCCCAAUGUACAAUGCCGUAAUUGCCCUCUGCUCUAGUGUCGGUAACACCGACUACGCCUUCCAGAUGCUCGACGAAAUGCCAUUAAAUGGGGUCUUUGCAGAUUCUGUUACAUAUAAUGCCAUACUUGAGGGGCUCAUCAAGCAGCGCAAGGCUCGUGAGACUGAAGGUUUCCUUGCGGAGAUGAGCAAGAACGAGCAGCUGCCCUCUGCCUCCAACUGUGCUGCUGCUAUCAGCUUAUUUUGUCAGGAGUUUAACCCAUCUGCCGCAGUUGACGUGUGGCACUGCAUCGUGGAGCACCAAAUUACUCCGGCUGAGGAAUCAGCCAAAGAGCUAAUAACUGGGCUUCUCGACUUUAGCAGGUUCUCCGAGGUGAAGAAAUAUACCGAUCAGAUGCUUGACAUGGGAAUUGAGUUGCCCCAGCCCACCAUUGAAAAAAUGAAGCGAGCAUUUUACAAGGCUGAGAGGCACCACACAUAUGACCAAAUUGCACGAAGGUUGAAGCGGCGGUAACAACACAUUGAUGGUAUAAUUCAUUAGGAGUGAACCGCUAUAGUGCAGGAGUUCACCACAGAAACGAGCCAGACAGAGAAGCUGCAGGAUGAGGUUUCAAAGUGGGAUAUCUCCAAAGUGGAACGUGGAUGGAAGUAGAUGUUGUUUUGCACCAGGUGGUUGUAUGGUAGUAGAUGUUUCCUGGAAGUAUAGCAUUGUACUGUUGUACGAGUACUUAUGGAAGAGCAGUUUCGAGAUAGCUGUAAUGCUGUACUUCGCAUUAACUGGAGUAGUCUGUUGCCUUUUCUUCUGCAGUGUUUGUUUGACUGUUGA